AUUAAAAUUCAAAAUAUAAUAGGAGUAUUAUUGUCUUUCCAGAUAAUUCUAAAAAAAAAUUCAAAUAUUAGUCUAAUUAGAUCAAAGCUUCAAGCAACUUUAGAAUUUUGUCCGCAAUCCGCCGUCUUCUUAAAGAGCUUCAGCUUCCUCACCUCAGUCCCUUUUCCCUAAUCCCAAUUCCAAAUCAAACCCAUUUGGGUUGCUAACUCCAGCCGCUUCUUUUCUCUAUUGUCAUCAUCCACUGAUUGGAAGUGGAUUGUGCAGCCGUGCAGCUAGCGGAAGGUGGAUCUUGGAAGCAGGUGCAGCCGUGUCGCGUGCAGAAGGUUUUAAGGAAGUUUGAUAGUUUUAAGGCAGCUAUAUAUUGCACAGUCUGAGGACGAAGAAGAAGAAGAAUUACAAAAAGAAGUAAACUUUGACAAAUACUGUGUAGACACAAGGAGCCAUAUUUAUGCUUCCUAUAAUUCUGAUUAAAAAAAAAUACUAGAAAUUUUUCUGCAGACACAAGGAGCAUGAGAGGGGUGACUUUAUUAGCAAUUGUUGUGAGGUGGAAGUAACUGGUUUUUGGCCUUUUGGUGGAUUUUCUUUGUAUUAAAAAUUGGAAAGGGAAGACGCAAAAACUUGGGAAGAUGCAUGUAUCUACUUAAUCUCUUCUUCAAUGGUGGACCCUGGCUGGUGGGCGAGAUUUUCUUGCAUUUUUUUUAAUUUUGACCAUGCUGUGUUAGUUUAUUGUUGUUAGGUCCUUUAAUUUAUUAAAAUUAGGCAAUUUGCAACC